CGUAGGAUGCGAGCGUUGUCCGGAUUUACUGGGCGUAAAGGGCGAGUAGGCGGCCCGCUAAGUCUCAUGUGAAAUCUCCCGGCUCAACUGGGAGGGGUCAUGAGAAACUGGCAGGCUUGAGGUCAGCAGAGGAAAGCGGAAUUCCCGGAGUAGCGGUGAUAUGCGUAGAUACCGGGAGGAACACCAGAGGCGAAGGCGGCUUUCUGGGCUGCACCUGACGCUGAGGCGCGAAAGCGUGGGGAGCGAACCGGAUUAGAUACCCGGGUAGUCCACGCCCUAAAUGGUGGAUACUAGACAUGGGGGUAUCGACCCCCUCUGUGUCGUAGUUAACGCGUUAAGUAUCCCGCCUGGGGAGUACGGCCGCAAGGCUAAAACUCAAAGGAAUUGACGGGGGCCCGCACAAGCAGCGGAGCGUGUUGUUCAAUUCGAUGUUAAGCGAAGAACCUUACCAGGGCUUGACAUGUUUCCGACAGUCCCCGAAAGGGGAUCUUCCUUCGGGACGGAUUCACAGAUGUUGCAUGGUCGUCGUCAGCUCGUGUCGUGAGAUGUUGGGUUAAGUCCCGCAACGAGCGCAACCCUUGUCGUUAGUUACCUUGUCUAGCGAGACUGCAUGUAAAAAACAUGAGGAAGGUGGGGAUGACGUCAGAUCAGCACGGCUCUUACGUCCUGGGCUACAAACACGCUACAAUGGCCUGAACAAAGGGUCGCCAAGGCGCAAGCCGGAGCCAAUCCCACAAAUCAGGCCUCAGUUGGAAUUGCAGGCUGAAACUCGCCUGCAUGAACGUGGAGCUGCUAGUAACCGCAGGUCAGCACACUGCGGUGAAUACGUUCCCGGGCCUUG
rnacentral:rRNA from 1 species